rnacentral:lncRNA from 1 species
AGCAAGGAAGUUCCCAGGACAGCUCCAAGCUCCCUUGACAGCUCCAAGCUCCCUUCUCUCUUUGUGGUGAAUCUGAAUGUGUGUAUGAGAGUAAUGGAUGAAGUGAAUGUGUGUGUUUGCCCUCUCUACUUGAAUGAGUGUGCAACUCUCUAUUUAUAGAGGGAAAUUUCGUGCUCCCCUUUGGCUGGUGAAGCACACCUCUCUUAGCUGCUCCCAACUGCUCCAGCUGCCCAUACUUG